GAUUUGGGCAAAAAUGGCCGCUUAUUGUUUUUAUUGUUUUACCGAUUAACACUAAAUUCAUUAAAUCAUUAAAUAACUGCGAACGUAUUACUUUUAUAUAUAAAUAAUGAUCCAUUGGUUAUUCCUGGCUCUCCUUUAAAUAAGCUGUAAGCUACGUUGAUCCAAACACAGAAACAUGAAAAACUUAUUUAUUAACAUUUUCUUUCUGGUUUUCUAAAAAUAACAUCCAGCUUCUUCUGGUUUUUUCCUGCCUUUCUAGUCCUGUUAUCUCCUCAGUAGUGACACCUAGAGUUAAAAUGAGGUAUGACGUCUUACUGAUUUGCUUGAAGUUUGACGUGACUCAGCCUGAAUCUGAAGCCAGCUUCUCCGACUGAAUGUUGAUCCACAGAGGAUCCUUCACCCACAGAAAUAUUUCCACAGCAUCUUCUUCCUCAGGAGGUUUUCUACGACAUGAACGCACAUCGAGCACCUCUCCUCUCACACCGACGUCUCUCUACCAGCAUCUUUUUGUGUACAAUAUUUGUACGUGUUGAAAAUAUUCCUGUUAAAAUGAGGUUUACUUGUGUUUUAUUGCUGCUUUCAGUGGGAUAUUUUCUGCAGAAAUAAAUAAAAGUUCUGUUUAUCCCUGAUUCACAAUAAAUUGUCAUAUUCUG